CCAAGUUCAUGAAACAUGACAAACUGAGCUUCAAAAGACGUAAAAUUUAUAAAUAGUAUACUAUGUUCAAUAUAGACCAUGUAUAUGAUAACAUUCUCUCUUCCCUAAAUAAGAAGAAUUUAUAAAACAAAUGACACGCAACAAAAUUGGUACACAAACACAAUAUGAUUACACGAACUUCAAAAUCAAACUAAACCUCGGAAACCGGCACGUCGUUGAAUAGUUGAACAAUCUCUUGAAGCCAGUCGGGAACUUGUGUAAGCAAAUUAGAUGAUGCCAAAGCAAACACUAGCAAGCAAAUAUUGACAAUAAGCCACAUAGCUAGAGACAUGCUCAUUUAGAGAAGCAACUCAACUCUGAACAUCCCAAAAAUCAUGUACAAGUAUUUGUAUAUCAUGUUCGGGCUUGUGGGCCCGAUCGCUUGGAUCAGUGUUAUGAGAUGGAUAAUUUCGCAGAUGAUGUACAACUAUAGAAUCGCAUGGUUCAACGCCUGAGUAGGCUGCGAAUUGAAAUGCACAAUGACGAGUAGUUUAAACAAGGUAAAGAUACUAUGAAACCUCUUGGUGGAGCCACUUUCUUGUUGUUGCUGACGUGGUGGUUUCUCGUUGUCCCUAUAGCGAAUCAAGAAAGAAAAUGAUGGAAAGAGAAAUGGAUUCCAAAAAUGGAAAGAAAUAAAAAUCGGCUAUUCAAUUAGAGCCUUAAGUAGAGUUUUUAAGAGCAUAUUCACACAUAUAAGUCACGCACCUUUGGGCUAUCUCUGUUUUAUCGGCCGUGUUAUGGAGCAGGAUUCGAAGACUUCUUCUCUGGCAGGAGCUCGUCGACCUCGCUUGAAAGAAUUCUGGUCCGGAGCUUUUGUUUUGUGAAUGGGAGUUUCUGAAGCGAAGUGAAAGGCCUUUGCUUCGUGCAUUGCAUUUUAUAGAGAGAGGUGAC
rnacentral:lncRNA from 1 species